UCCCGGUUGGCCCGGGCAGUCUCGUCUGAAAAAUACAACAGCCGACAAGGGUUGCGCUCGUUGCGGGACUUAACCCAACAUCUCACGACACGAGCUGACGACGGCCAUGCAACACCUGUCACUGGGUUCCCGAAGGCACUCCCCUGUUUCCAGGGGAUUCCCAGGAUGUCAAGCCUCGGUAAGGUUCUACGCGUAGCUUCGUAUUAAACCACAUGCUCCACUGCUUGUGCGGGCCCCCGCCAAUUCCUUUGAGUUUUAAUCUUGCGACCGUACUCCCCAGGCGGGGCACUUAAUGCGUUAGCUGCGGCACCCAGGGGGUCAAUACCCCGGACACCUAGUGCCCAUCGUUUACAGCGUGGACUAC
rnacentral:misc_RNA from 1 species